CUCUCAGGCAAGGCGGCAUCUGUCAGAAUGACAGAGCGAGUGAGGGAGUAAAAAAAACGAGCCUGGGAACAAACGAGUUGUUUGAGUUCCUGCCAAAGAACACCUCGGCAUCUGAAUGCUUCCUUGUCAUGUCUUUGGAUCGGUACAAGAACGGUUCUCCACUCAUUCCUCCAUAUUCCCAUCUUCAAUUAUCCCUGAGCUAAAGACCUCAUACUCUGAUGCAACUGCAUGAAACAGCAGUUAGACGCUAAUCUGUUGCUUUUAUCCAACACAUUCUGGAAAUUGAGAAUUAUUGAUAUGCUCUGAACUGCCGUCAUUAACAACUGGAUGUGAGGAAUUCUGAUGAAUAUCAGAAAAAAAGUGAGACCUCAACCACCCCCAUCCUAACAUCAUGUUGCCGCCCAUUCAGACUCUGUUUGUUCAUGCUGUCGGCAAGUUUAUUGAAUUCCCUUGACAAAGGUUGAAUAUCAGAGUGGAGAUCAGUCAUGUACAAGAGCUGGAUUGCUCUCACAGUGAGUGAAUCGCAGCUCUUUGAUCCGAGCUUCUGGCUACUCGCUCCCUGCCGCCGUGACAAAAGAGACUUGUGGGAUUCUGUACUUCACACCACAGAAAGACAAACAGAGACCUGCAGCCUAGAGGAAGAUCCCAGUGUUUUGUACAGGCGCUUCUUUGAAAGUGAUCCUUUUGCUAGGAAGACAGAAGAGAAUUCAAAAGAUUGAGAAGAACAACAUAAAAGAAGAAUGGAGAACGAAGUCAAUGUCUGCCCGUCCAACCGAGCGCCAAUAUGCUACAAUAUUUAUGACAGAAAUGAUUAUGAGAAACUGUUGGAGAAAAAAAUGGCACAUUUCUGGAUUGUGCAACAAAGCUACGGCGAUGAAUACUUUGAAGCUUUGAAAGUGUCAGAACGUAUUUUAUAAAAACAACAGUUUGAGUCUUGGAUCACUAUAAAGUUGACAACUAGAACACGCUCAAGUUGCAUCUUCAUCUUCUUAGGUGCAUUUUAAAGGCUGACGGGUGUAUUGUGUAAUACAUAUUGAGAGAAAUAUCAAAUUGAGAGAAACUUCAUUCAUGUAGCCAGAUAAAGGUGUCAGUUAAACUAUAGCUAAAAGUAGUUAGCUACACUGCAAGCUGACAGCCAAAAAACUUCUUAAGUGGACAAUAUCUUUUAAAAUAUAUCCCUGCUGAAAAGAAGUGCUGCAACAAUGUCAAGUAUGUGAAAAAUAAUUUGUUUUUUGAACAUUCAAGCAUACAAAGCUAUUCUAGUAGAGGAUAAAAACAAAAUCAAGUAUUUGUAAAAGAGCAUAACAUGGCCUUUUUAACAACCCAAGUUACAGUGACAGUAUCAAACUCAAACUGUUAAAUGUUACACUAAAUGCAACCUAAAAAAAUGUAAUAUUCAGUUAUUUUUACUGUACUUAUAAUUUAUGUCAAGUAUUAUGCUAUAAAUGCCACUGACUCAGUGAUUCCUUUUUGAAUCUGUUCAUUUAUAACUAUCCAAACAAACCGACUGAAUAAACCAACUGGCCAACUAAAAUGAAUCAAA